GCCGGAGUGGUGAAAUUGGCAGACACGCACGGUUCAGGUCCGUGUGGGCGCAAGUCCGUGGGGGUUCAAAUCCCUUCUCCGGCACCA
rnacentral:tRNA from 1 species